CCCUUAGAUGUUCUGGGCCGCACGCGCGCUACACUGAUGCAUUCAACGAGUCCAACCUUGACCGAGAGGUCCGGGUAAUCUUUGAAACUGCAUCGUGAUGGGGCUAGAUUAUUGCAAUUAUUAAUCUUCAACGAGGAAUGCCUAGUAAGCGUGAUUCAUCAAAUCGCGUUGAUUACGUCCCUGCCCUUUGUACACACCGCCCGUCGCUCCUACCGAUUGAGUGUGUUGGUGAGGAGUUUGGAUUGGCCUCGGAAGGUGGUUCGCCACCGUCCGUAGCUGAGAAGUUCUCCAAACCGCUCCACUUAGAGGAAGGAGAAGUCGUAACA
rnacentral:rRNA from 1 species